UCAGGUGAGACAGUAGAUUCAUUUGUUACUAGGUUAAGGAAAUUAGCUACAAGAAAAGAAGCUAACCAUUUGGAAAUACAUUUGGCUGUAGCUCCGAAAAUAGUCAUAGGAUUUUUUCUAAAAUAAUCUCAAUGGGAUUCCCACAAAAAGUUACCUUCGAUUGUUUAACGUAACCUAACCCAACCUAAACUAACUUUUAAAGUGAUACGCUCAAGAGUGAUUAUAUUUUCUCUGCAACAUAAGUCAAAACUAUAGAAUAGUAGAAUGUAUUUUUGUAUGCUGGUGAAAUAGGAUGGCAUAACAUAUAGUAUUAUAUCACCUAGAUGCUUGAUAUGGACGAACCCCAUCCAAAUUCUGGAGUUGAGGCAAAAAAACUCAUGACAACUAAAUUCAAGCUAUUGUGUGUGCAGCAGGAAUUUCUCCACCAAAAAAUACCUUCAUCCAGCUUCUGACAAACUUUGCCACAAUGCCUGCCCAGAUCAACAUGUAGGAGAUACAUCAAUAAAUUUACACCACCAAGCAAAUUAUACAUCAAAUUGGUUGCUGACUUAUCCACACGAGAAUUUGCACAACCUUGAAUAUGGUACCAUUCCUGCUCUGGAGAAUAGAUCAUCUGAGAUAGGAGCUUCAUCCUUGAAACAUGGGUUCAUCUAUCAACUGACCAGGGAAAAUUCCAAAGAAGAUUAUGGAAAUAUUGAAUUAAG